rnacentral:rRNA from 1 species
GGAGGAUGCAAGCGUUAUCCGGAUUCAUUGGGUUUAAAGGGGUGCGCAGGCGGGGGCAAUAAGUCAGUGGUGAAAUCCUGCGGGCUUAACCGUAGAACUGCCAUUGAUACUGUUGCCCUUGAGUAUAGUUGAGGUGGGCGGAAUAUGUAAUGUAGCGGUGAAAUGCAUAGAUAUUACAUAGAACACCAAUUGCGAAGGCAGCUCACUAAACUAUCACUGACGCUGAGGCACGAAAGCGUGGGGAGCGAACAGGAUUAGAUACCCUGGUAGUCCACGCCGUAAACGAUGAUCACUCGUUGUUGGCAAUACAUCGUCAGCGACUGAGCGAAAGCAUUAAGUGAUCCACCUGGGGAGUACGAUCGCAAAGAUUG